GUCGCGCUCGGGCCCGAGUGGCGAGAAGUGUUACUGGGCCUGGGAUUGGCAGGACGGCAAACUUUACACAGCUUGGACGUUGCCCGAUCUCCACGACCAGGUCAAGCAGCACCUCAGCACACUCUGAGG
rnacentral:SRP_RNA from 1 species